rnacentral:sRNA from 1 species
UCCCCAGCCCCUCGUGUGCUGUUUUGAACUAGGAGUCCAAACUGGUUUCCUGUCAGCUGGAGCCGGAGAGUCAGCCAUGGUUAGCAAGAGACCAGAACCACUGAAGUGAAACCUUCAUUUUACUGAGGUAGUGAUGCUGGUCAGUCAGAGCCGGGGAAACAGCUGUACUUCACGAUGGCUGGACUUGGUAACGUGUAAGAGUCUCUCAGGUUGGUUUUGAAGGCACGAAGAGGUUGUGGAGGAUAGCUGAGUCUCCACCUGGGAGAGGCCAGGAAAGGCCAUUGGUCAACAAACAAACAUUCAGCCUCAGUUACAGUGAAAACCCCAGAAUUGAAGGGGUCAUGGAGAGAGGCUGAGGCUUGGCACCGUGUCCCUGAUAUCAAAGUCCCUGAAUAGAAUCCAGGAGGGGGUGAAGGUGCAGCCCGAGGAGACCCCCAGCAUAUUGGAGAUGUCAGGAUCGUGGGGCAUUUGCCAGAGCAGAGAGCAGAUCAAGACAAGCAGAGUGAGGAGCUGGGGAAUGGAGCUGCCAGGGCCCUUUCGAAGCCCAGAGGAUCGGGAGUGGAUCUCAGGAGCCCACAGUUCACAGAGACUUGGGAUGUUUAAAAAAAAGAAAUGGAUAUGUUACAGAGACGAAGCUUUAAAAAUCUUGAAAAUUGCAAAGACUGUGGGACUUAACAAAAAAAACCAAAAAACAAAAAACAUAAAACAAAAAACACUGUACAGUUGGGUUAGGUGCGGUGGCUCGCGUCUUUAGACCCAGAGUGCAGGAGGCAGAAUAGAUGAGUCUCUUUGUGUUCUGGGCCAGCUAGGGCUCCAUAGUGAGACCAUCUCAAAAAUAACAGCCAGCCAUGGGUAUACCCGCCUUUCAUCCCUGCACUUGAAAAGCAGAGGCAGGCAGACCUCUAUGGGUUUAAGAUGGCUGGAUUAGCCUACAUAGUGAGUUGUGGGAGAGCAGAGCUUCAUACAUGGAUGGACCCUUUUGAAAUAAUAAAACAAACAAACAAACAAAAAACAACAAUGAA